rnacentral:tRNA from 1 species
GCCGAUGUGGUGGAAUUGGUAGACACGCACGGUUCAGGACCGUGUGCAGCAAUGCGUGUGGGUUCGACUCCCACCAUCGGCACCA